UACAGAGGGUGCGAGCGUUUAAUCGGAAUUACUGGGCGUAAAGCGUGCGUAGGCGGUUUGUUAAGUCCGUUGUGAAAGCCCUGGGCUCAACCUGGGAAUUGCAGUGGAUACUGGCGAGCUAGAGUGCGGUAGAGGAUGGUGGAAUUCCCGGUGUAGAGGUGAAAUUCGUAGAUAUCGGGAGGAACACCAGUGGCGAAGGCGGCGAUCUGGGAAGAUACUGACGCUGAGGUGCGAAAGCGUGGGGAGCAAACAGG
rnacentral:rRNA from 1 species